rnacentral:rRNA from 1 species
GGUUGACCUCGGAUCGGGUAGGGAUACCCGCUGAACUUAAGCAUAU